rnacentral:rRNA from 1 species
UACGUAGGGACCAAGCGUUGUCCGGAAUCAUUGGGCGUAAAAGAGCGUGUAGGCGGCUUGUUAAGUCUUGCGUGAAAUCUCGGGGCUCAACCCCGAGCGGUCGUGAGAAACUGGCAGGCUAGAGUGCGGGAGAGGAGAGUGGAAUUCCUGGUGUAGCGGUGGAAUGCGCAGAUAUCAGGAAGAACACCGGUGGCGAAGGCGGCUCUCUGGGCCUUACCUGACGCUGAGGAGCGAAAGCGUGGGUAGCGAACAGG